CCUGUUGCAGUUCAGGAAUGCAGGUCAAGGGAGAGAGAAUCAAAGCGGUUCUUUCUUCUUUGAUUUUGAAACCAUCCAGGCUGUUCUGCUGGGGAAAUUCCCCAAGUGCACUUCUCAGAGCUCCCCAGAACCCCCCCCCCACUCCAUGAUGCAUUUUAAUAUCCCAGAGAAAUGGGUCGGAGCAGCCUGGAUUUCCCCGGCUUUGGCUCUUGCAUCAUUCAGGACUGGAGCCAAGCUCUCUCUCGGCACCAAACGGGCAGCAGCAGCAGCAGCAGCAUCACACUUGCUUCCUCCCCACCAGCAGGAUCCAAGCGGCACUGCCUGGGAUGUGCCCGGGUCCUCCCGCUGGAUCACGCAACAGCUGGAGGGGGCAAGGCGUGACUCACCCGUGGCUGGAUGCGAGCUGUAGAACUGAGUCAUGGUCAGGGAUUUUUUUCUAAGAAAACAGGUGGCAGAACUCUCAAGAGGGAAAUGGGGAAGAAACACACGGGAUUCUUUGAAAUAAUAUUAUUUUCACGCACGAUUGCCGAGUAUUUUCAAGAGAUGCCGGAACUCCAUUCCAUCGUGUUCCUGCUGAAAAAAAGCCCUGCCCACAGUGCUCACGGCUGGCCACUGUCUCGUCUCCACACUGACUGCUGGUCAAUUGAGCAUCAGCUCACAGCUAGAGCUUAGCUAACUUUCGGGAUAUUUGAGUCCAAGUACAGGUCUUGCCGAUUAUUCAGAACUUUUCCUGGGUGUAUUCAGGGAUGCGUCUCUGUCUUCCAAGCCCUUUCCUUGGCUCUGAGCAGGACGCUUAGGAGAGGCUCCACACCGACCCAAGCAGGCAUGAUGUGGUGCGGGAGGGACUCUGUGCUGGCAGGGAACCCCGCUACACUGAGGCCAAGCAAAAGAGUGGCAGGCUGGCAUUUAGUUUGGAGAUCAGGGAGUCAUGUGCACAUCUGAACACACGCCAUGCCCCAGAAGCCUUUUGCAGACGUUUGCUUACGAAGAAAUAGCAUCAGGAAGUGGGCACCAGUGGGCCAUUUUGCCUCAUGCUCAGCUUCUGUUGCUCGGUCUCUGGCACUGCCUCUGCACACCCACCCAGUCCUCCAAGAAUGGCCAGUAAUGCUUUGAAAGACCCCUGGUGAGGGAGCCCCUCUUCUGCCUCCUCUGGCCCCAGAGCAAUCAGCAGCGCCGGAGGGAAAGGAAAGGCGCGGAUCUCAUGGGGAGAGUUUUCAGCACUGGCCUCAGUCUUCCUCGGCCCCGUUCCCCUGGUGUUUCCAUUAGAGUGCCCGGGUGCCCUCCAGUGGUGGGCAAACUCCCGGAGGUUUGUCCCCUUGUCCGCCAAUCUGCCAAUGAUUGGUGGGAAGUAGCAGGCCCCCAGAGGUCACCUGCUACUGGCAGGCACCCCAGGAACACGCCUGGCAUGCGCUCCAGGGAAUGUGAUGGUGAUGAUAAUAAUAACUGUGCUUAUAUUCUGCUCUUCUAGACAGAUUAGCGCCCCACGCAGAGUAGUGAAAAAGUUCAUGUUAUUAUUGUCCCCACAAUACAGCUGGGGAGCUGGGGCUGCGAGGAGAGGUCACUCCUGAACAUCGUCGUGCCGGCCGCGGGAGCGCUCCUGUGUUCGGCGGAAUAAUGUCAUUUUGGCGAGUGAUGUCAUCACGAAGAAGCAGCACGCUGCCGGAAGCAGCCUGCAGCGUCUCCUGAAAUGGUGCUUCUGGGAGCGAGGACGCCCCAGGAAGCACAGCAGGGAGUGGGAGGUCUGCCGCAGGAGAGGGGAACGCACUCAACACACACACACACACACCCCGCCACCCAAGGAGCUUGCCAGUAGGAUCCAAGCCAGAAGUCCAUCAGCAGGAGCAGCUUGGUUCCUGAGACAGCCUUAUCUGAGACGGCUCACCACAGCGGCCUUGGGACAGCUCCUUACUUUCACUUUCCCACCUUCUGUACCAGCUGGGGGGUGGUUUAGAGGGUUUGAUAUACUGUAGCAAGCCCCCAACACGUCAUUCUCAACAAGAGAUCUAUGUACAGCCAGAAGCUUGCUUUAGCCUUUGGAUAACCUAUGGACACUUGUACUUUCUGAAUAUAUAAACUCUCAAUAAAGAACCUUUGACUCAA